rnacentral:rRNA from 1 species
UACAGAGGGUGCGAGCGUUAAUCGGAAUUACUGGGCGUAAAGCGCGCGUGGGCGGCUUUGCAAGUCGGGUGUGAAAUCCCCAGGCUUAACCUGGGAACUGCAUUCGAGACUGCAUUGCUAGAGUAUGGGAGAGGGAAGUGGAAUUUCCGGUGUAGCGGUGAAAUGCGUAGAUAUCUGGAGGAAUACCGGUGGCGAAGGCGGCAUCCUGGACCAUUUACUGACGCUGAGGCGCGAAAGCUAGGGGAGCAAACGGG